rnacentral:rRNA from 1 species
AUUGAACGCUGGCGGCAUGCUUUACACAUGCAAGUCGAACGGUAACAGGCCGCAAGGUGCUGACGAGUGGCGAACGGGUGAGUAAUGCAUCGGAACGUGCCCAGUCGUGGGGGAUAACGCAGCGAAAGCUGUGCUAAUACCGCAUACGAUCUAUGGAUGAAAGCGGGGGACCGUAAGGCCUCGCGCGAUUGGAGCGGCCGAUGUCAGAUUAGGUAGUUGGUGGGGUAAAGGCCUACCAAGCCGACGAUCUGUAGCUGGUCUGAGAGGACGACAAGCCACACGGGGACAGGGACACGGCCCAGACUCCUACGGGAGGCAGCAGUGGGGAAUUUUGGACAAUGGGCGCAAGCCUGAUCCAGCAAUGCCGCGUGCAGGAAGAAGGCCUUCGGGUUGUAAACUGCUUUUGUACGGAACGAAACGGUCUGGGUUAAUACCCUGGGCUAAUGACGGUACCGUAAGAAUAAGCACCGGCUAACUGCGUGCCAGCCGCCGCAGUAAGAC